CCCUUCGGGAGGAAGCAGUGGGCAAUAUUAGACAAUGGGCGCAAGCCUGAUCCACCCAUGCCGGGUGAGUGAUGAAAGCCCUAGGGUUGUAAAGCUCUUUCAUCCAGGACGCAAAUUACGUUACCUCCAAAAGAAGACCCGGCUAAUUACGCGCCAGCAUCCGCGGUAAUACCAACGGGGCCUAACGUUCUCCGGAAUUACUGGGCGCUUACGCGCACGCAUGCGCGACUCCCUAGCUCAGGGGUCGAAACCCCCGGGGUGUCAUUCCGGGACCUGCCCUUUGAUAUCGGAAAUCCUUGCAUUUCAAAACAACGUGAUU
rnacentral:rRNA from 1 species